rnacentral:rRNA from 2 species
AUGCUGGAGGUAUCAGAAGUGCGAAUGCUGACAUAAGUAACGAUAAAGCGGGUGAAAAGCCCGCUCGCCGGAAGACCAAGGGUUCCUGUCCAACGUUAAUCGGGGCAGGGUGAGUCGACCCCUAAGGCGAGGCCGAAAGGCGUAGUCGAUGGGAAACAGGUUAAUAUUCCUGUACUUGGUGUUACUGCGAAGGGGGGACGGAGAAGGCUAUGUUGGCCGGGCGACGGUUGUCCCGGUUUAAGCGUGUAGGCUGGUUUUCCAGGCAAAUCCGGAAAAUCAAGGCUGAGGCGUGAUGACGAGGCACUACGGUGCUGAAGCAACAAAUGCCCUGCUUCCAGGAAAAGCCUCUAAGCAUCAGGUAACAUCAAAUCGUACCCCAAACCGACACAGGUGGUCAGGUAGAGAAUACCAAGGCGCUUGAGAGAACUCGGGUGAAGGAACUAGGCAAAAUGGUGCCGUAACUUCGGGAGAAGGCACGCUGAUAUGUAGGUGAAGUCCCUUGCGGAUGGAGCUGAAAUCAGUCGAAGAUACCAGCUGGCUGCAACUGUUUAUUAAAAACACAGCACUGUGCAAACACGAAAGUGGACGUAUACGGUGUGACGCCUGCCCGGUGCCGGAAGGUUAAUUGAUGGGGUCAGCGCAAGCGAAGCUCUUGAUCGAAGCCCCGGUAAACGGCGGCCGUAACUAUAACGGUCCUAAGGUAGCGAAAUUCCUUGUCGGGUAAGUUCCGACCUGCACGAAUGGCGUAAUGAUGGCCAGGCUGUCUCCACCCGAGACUCAGUGAAAUUGAACUCGCUGUGAAGAUGCAGUGUACCCGCGGCAAGACGGAAAGACCCCGUGAACCUUUACUAUAGCUUGACACUGAACAUUGAGCCUUGAUGUGUAGGAUAGGUGGGAGGCUUUGAAGUGUGGACGCCAGUCUGCAUGGAGCCGACCUUGAAAUACCACCCUUUAAUGUUUGAUGUUCUAACGUGGACCCGUGAUCCGGGUUGCGGACAGUGUCUGGUGGGUAGUUUGACUGGGGCGGUCUCCUCCUAAAGAGUAACGGAGGAGCACGAAGGUUGGCUAAUCCUGGUCGGACAUCAGGAGGUUAGUGCAAUGGCAUAAGCCAGCUUGACUGCGAGCGUGACGGCGCGAGCAGGUGCGAAAGCAGGUCAUAGUGAUCCGGUGGUUCUGAAUGGAAGGGCCAUCGCUCAACGGAUAAAAGGUACUCCGGGGAUAACAGGCUGAUACCGCCCAAGAGUUCAUAUCGACGGCGGUGUUUGGCACCUCGAUGUCGGCUCAUCACAUCCUGGGGCUGAAGUAGGUCCCAAGGGUAUGGCUGUUCGCCAUUUAAAGUGGUACGCGAGCUGGGUUUAGAACGUCGUGAGACAGUUCGGUCCCUAUCUGCCGUGGGCGCUGGAGAACUGAGGGGGGCUGCUCCUAGUACGAGAGGACCGGAGUGGACGCAUCACUGGUGUUCGGGUUGUCAUGCCAAUGGCACUGCCCGGUAGCUAAAUGCGGAAGAGAUAAGUGCUGAAAGCAUCUAAGCACGAAACUUGCCCCGAGAUGAGUUCUCCCUGACCCUUUAAGGGUCCUGAAGGAACGUUGAAGACGACGACGUUGAUAGGCCGGGUGUGUAAGCGCAGCGAUGCGUUGAGCUAACCGGUACUAAUGAACCGUGAGGCUUAACCUU